rnacentral:rRNA from 1 species
GUAGGGAAUAUUGGGCAAUGGAUGCAAGUCUGACCCAGCCAUCCCGCGUGCCGGAAGAAGGCCCUCAGGGUUGUAAACGGCUUUUGAUGGUGAAGAACCGACAGGAUGCGUCCUGUUUUGACGGUAGCCGUUGAAUAAGCACCGGCUAACUCCGUGCCAGCAGCCGCGGUAAUACGGGGGGUGCAAGCGUUAUCCGGAAUCACUGGGUUUAAAGGGUACGUAGGCGGUUAAUUAAGUCAGUAGUGAAAGACUGUCGCUCAACGACGGAUGUGCUAUUGAUACUGGUUAACUUGAAUCAGGUUAGAGUUGGCGGAAUGGGUCAUGUAGCGGUGAAAUGCUUAGAUAUGACUUGGAACACCGAUAGCGAAGGCAGCUGACUGAGCCUUGAUUGACGCUGAGGUACGAAAGUGUGGGUAGCGAACAGGAUUAGAUACCCUGGUAGUCC